rnacentral:rRNA from 1 species
CUACGGGGCGCUGCAGUGGGGAAUAUUGCACAAUGGACGAAAGUCUGAUGCAGCAACGCCGCGUGGAGGAUGACACAUUUCGGUGCGUAAACUCCUUUUAUAUAAGAAGAUAAUGACGGUAUUAUAUGAAUAAGCACCGGCUAACUCCGUGCCAGCAGCCGCGGUAAUACGGGGGGUGCAAGCGUUACUCGGAAUCACUGGGCGUAAAGCGAAUGUAGGCGGACUUGUAAGUUGGAAGUGAAAUCCUAUGGCUCAACCAUAGAACUGCUUCCAAAACUGCUUGUCUAGAAUAUGGGAGAGGUAGAUGGAAUUUCUGGUGUAGGGGUAAAAUCCGUAGAGAUCAGAAGGAAUACCGAUUGCGAAGGCGAUCUACUGGAACAUUAUUGACGCUCAGAUGCGAAAGCGUGGGGAGCAAACAGGAUUAGAUACCCCUGUAGUC